rnacentral:tRNA from 1 species
CAGAGGGUGGUUUAAUUAGAAUCUCAGCUUUGGGAGCUGUGGAUAGGAGUUAGAGUCUCCUCCCUCUGA